rnacentral:rRNA from 1 species
AGAGUUUGAUCAUGGCUCAGGACGAACGCUGGCGGCGUGCUUAACACAUGCAAGUCGAGCGGAAAGGCCCUUCGGGGUACUCGAGCGGCGAACGGGUGAGUAACACGUGAGUAAUCUGCCCCAGGCUCUGGGAUAGCCACCGGAAACGGUGAUUAAUACCGGAUACGACAACCGAUUGCAUGAUCUGGUUGUGGAAAGUUUUUCGGCCUGGGAUGUGCUCGCGGCCUAUCAGCUUGUUGGUGAGGUAAUGGCUCACCAAGGCUUCGACGGGUAGCCGGCCUGAGAGGGUGACCGGCCACACUGGGACUGAGACACGGCCCAGACUCCUACGGGAGGCAGCAGUGGGGAAUAUUGGACAAUGGGCGGAAGCCUGAUCCAGCAACGCCGCGUGAGGGAUGACGGCCUUCGGGUUGUAAACCUCUUUCAGCACAGACGAAGCGCAAGUGACGGUAUGUGCAGAAGAAGGACCGGCCAACUACGUGCCAGCAGCCGCGGUAAUACGUAGGGUCCGAGCGUUGUCCGGAAUUAUUGGGCGUAAAGGGCUCGUAGGCGGUCUGUCGCGUCGGGAGUGAAAACCAGGUGCUCAACACCUGGCCUGCUUUCGAUACGGGCAGACUAGAGGUACUCAGGGGAGAAUGGAAUUCCUGGUGUAGUGGUGAAAUGCGCAGAUAUCAGGAGGAACACCGGUGGCGAAGGCGGUUCUCUGGGAGUAUCCUGACGCUGAGGAGCGAAAGUGUGGGGAGCGAACAGGAUUAGAUACCCUGGUAGUCCACACCGUAAACGUUGGGCGCUAGGUGUGGGAUCCAUUCCACGGGUUCCGUGCCGCAGCUAACGCAUUAAGCGCCCCGCCUGGGGAGUACGGCCGCAAGGCUAAAACUCAAAGGAAUUGACGG